rnacentral:ncRNA from 1 species
GCCUAUUUUGCUCAGGCGGAGCUCGACCGCCACUGGAAAAAAUAAUGCCACUGCUCGAACGUCUGAGUGGUGCCCACGGGGUCGGGCCGGUAUGCCGCGAGCUGGAUAUUGCCCC